rnacentral:rRNA from 1 species
AUACGUAGGUGGCGAGCGUUGUCCGGAUUUACUGGGCGUAAAGGGAGCGUAGGCGGAUUUUAAGUGAGAUGUGAAAUACUCGGGCUUAACCUGAGUGCUGCAUUUCAAACUGGAAGUCUAGAGUGCAGGAGAGGAGAAGGGAAUUCCUAGUGUAGCGGUGAAAUGCGUAGAGAUUAGGAAGAACACCAGUGGCGAAGGCGCUUCUCUGGACUGUAACUGAAAACGCUGAGGCUCGAAAGCGUGGGGAGC